GAUGAAGAACGUAGUGAAAUGCGAUAAGUAAUGUGAAUUGCAGAAUUCAGUGAAUCAUCGAAUCUUUGAACGCACAUUGCGCCCGCCAGUAUUCUGGCGGGCAUGCCUGUUCGAGCGUCAUUUCAACCAUCAAGCCCCAGGCUUGUGUUGGGGACCUGCGGCUGCCGCAGGCCCUGAAAACCAGUGGCGGGCUCGCUGUCACACCGGGCGUAGUAGAUUUUAUCUCGCUCAGGGCGUGCUGCGGGUUCCGGCCGUUAAAAAGCCUUUUUUACCCAAGGUUGACCUCGGAUCAGGUAGGAAGACCCGCUGAACUUAAGCAUAUCAUAAGCGGAGGA
rnacentral:misc_RNA from 1 species